AUGUUUGCGCAGUGGCAGUAUCGUAGCCAGUGAGGUUUAUCUGAGGCGCGAUUAUUGCUAAUUGAAUGCUUGGUAUAAAAGCAUGUCAAAUAUGUUAAUAAUGAUCAUAUUUGUGGGGUGCUAAAUGAUAAUAUU